GUGUCAAGGGAUGGGAAUCGAACCCACGACCUUCCGCUUACCGGGCAGAUGCCAUGACCACUAUUUUUUUUAUGCUUA